rnacentral:lncRNA from 1 species
CUCUGCUCCAUCAGCUGCCCUUUCCCUGCCAGCAGUGAUUUCCAUGGUAGGGCUCACUCACCUCCCUGGAGCACCAGAAACACGUGGAGGAUCUCGUGUGAGAAGGUGCAGUAACAGCAGCCUGGAGUCUGAUGAUGAACCUCCUUGUGCAGAAGAGAUUGAUUAUGACACUGCCAGUAGCUCUGACGGUGAAGAGGAAUUCUUGGAGCUAGACCAUGAGAUCCAGGAGUACCUCUCGUGUGUGGAAGGCAAGACAGAAGAUGAAGGAGUGACCACAGGAGAAACAUGCAGCUCCAGGGCUCUGAGGGGCCUCUACAUUUCCAGCCAGCCAGCACCCAACAGCACAGCUCUUCCUCUGGGCUCAAAAGCACUUGGGCUCUACAGUGGGUUCGAGAGCAGUCCUGUGUGAGCAAGGCUGUGACUUGCAGAGCAGCAAGAAGUGGGUCACUGCUCAUGUUUGCCUGUUUGCCAGCUUCACAGCACCCUUCCCAGAUGUGUUGCUCCUGGAUCUGAAUGGAUAGUUGACUGUAUGAUUGUGUAAUUUGUAUUCAUACAUCUGCUGAGAAUGAUUCCUUACACCUUGUACAUGAGGCAGAGGGAGGGGCCGCUAGCCCUGGCGGUACUGUGUGAAAUCAUCCAUUCCUAAACAUAAUUCCCAGUUUCAUGGCUGCCUCUAGUAUAUGGUUUCAUACAGGUUGACCUAAGGAAUAGUAUUUUGAGACCAAGGAAUCAGAGAUGAUUCUCUUUUUCUGACUUUAGGCAGCCUUUGCCUGGAGAAGAGACAGUUAUUGAUGCCUUUCACCAGAGCUCUCUGUUGCCAUUCUCUCCUGAGCUGUAGAGCAUGUCUCUGAUUUCUGUCUGAUCAGAAUUUUUACAGUGCAAGACCAACAGGUUGGGUCAGGCUGUGCAUAUUUCCAAGCUGGUUCUAUCUCAGCAACAGCAUGGGAAAUCCAGUGUGCCACAGUAAGGAAAGGAGCAGUGACAAGUCAUAGUGAUCCUCUGGAAACCUGGGCUAAAUUCACCAAUAAAUUAGUGAUUGUGGCAAAAUCCA